AAGAACCUUUACGAGUAAAUUACACCAAGUACUUCAUAUAUUUUUUGUGGAUUUGCGGAUUUUUUUGAGGAUUUUGAAGGAUUUCUGUGGAUUUUUGAAGGAUUUCUGUGGUUUUUAAAGGAUUUUUCGGAUUUUGAUGGAUUCAUCGGAUUUUGAGGAUUUCAUGGAUUUUUUCUGGAUUUUUCCCGGAUUUUUUGACGAAGUGUACGGGAUUUUUGGAGUGAAUUGCCCCGAGGGGCAUUUCACUCAAAAAAAGCGUACGGGAUUUUCGGAUUUUUAAAAAUCCGCGGAUUUUUUAGCGGAUUUUUCCCGGAUUUUUUAGCGGAUUUUUGAAGAGAAAAUUUGCUGGAUUUUCGGGAUUUGUUCGGAUUUUCCGGAUUUGUUCGGAUUUUUUCUGGAUUUUUGAAAAUCUGUUGGAUUUUCCGGAUUUGUUUGGAUUUUCCGGAUUUGUUUGGAUUUUCCGGAUUUGUUCGGAUUUUUUCUGGAUUUUUUUUUUAAAUUAUAGAGUUAUAGAGCUAGGUAACGUUUUGAACAAAUAAUCUUAAGUUGUACGAUGUCAACGUUAUGCCAGGACGUCAGGGUCGAGCAGAGGACUGGGACUAGGACCACAGCCUUCUGAAACUAUUAACGAAGGCUGGGCAUGCAGUCUGACUUUGUUUAAAAUUCAAACAAGUUCAUUAUUCUUUCAAAAGCAGUAAAAGACAAUGGUGAAUAACUUUUGGUUUUGUAAUUAUAUUUUACAACAUAACGUCAUUGUAACAAGAACACAUAUUUAGUAGUAAUAGGCUAAAAAAACUUAGCGUAUACUCGAGCGUAUAAAUGGAAAUGUAGAGUGGUCCAAUAAUUACGAAAUAUAAUGACAGCGAUCACGGUAAGCAUUUAGCUUUCGCUGUCCGCCAUUUUGAACGUGGCAAAGAACCUUUACGAGUAAAUUACACCAAGUACUUCAUAUAUUUUUUGUGGAUUUGCGGAUUUUUUAAGGAUUUUGAAGGAUUUCUGUGGAUUUUUGAAGGAUUUCUGUGGUUUUUAAAGGAUUUUUUGGAUUUUGAUGGAUUCAACGGAUUUUGAGGAUUUCAUGGAUUUUUUCUGGAUUUUUUCCGGAUUUUUUGACGAAGUGUACGGGAUUUUUGGAGUGAA